rnacentral:rRNA from 1 species
UUGAAGGGUUUGAUCCUGGCUCAGAAUGAACGUUGUCGGCGUGGAUUAGGCAUGCAAGUCGAGCGACAAGCUCAGACGGAUCCCUUCGGGGUGAAGACUGAGUGGAGGAGCGGCAAACGGGGUAGUUAGGCGCAGGUACGUACCCUCAGGUCGGGGAUAGCCAUGGGAAACUGUGGGUAAUACCCGAUAAUCCGGUAACGGCAAAGGUGUGAUUCCGCCGGAGGAGCGGUCUGCGUGGUAUUAGCUUGUUGGUGAGGUAAUGGCUCACCAAGGCGAAGAUGCCUAGGGGGUGUGAGAGCAUGGCCCCCACCACUGGGACUGAGACACUGCCCAGACAUCUACGGAUGGCUGCAGUCGAGAAUCUUUGGCAAUGCACGCAAGUGUGACCAAGCGACGCCGAGUGCUGGAUGAAGGCCUUCGGGUUGUAAACAGCUGUCAGAGGGGAUGAAAUUGUUGGGGGCUAUCCCCCUUCAUUGACAAAGCCUCAGAGGAAGCGCGGGCUAAGUUCGUGCCAGCAGCCGCGGUAAUACGAAGGGGGCUAGCGUUGUUCGGAAUUACUGGGCGUAAAGCGCGCGUAGGUGGUUAGGUAAGCGAGAUGUGAAAGCCCCGGGCUUAACCUGGGAACGGCAUUUCGAACUGUCUGACUAGAGUGUGGUAGAGGGUAGUGGAAUUUCCUGUGUAGCGGUGAAAUGCGUAGAUAUAGGAAGGAACACCAGUGGCGAAGGCGGCUAACUGGACUGAUACUGACGCUGAGGUGCGAAAGUGUGGGGAGCAAACAGGAUUAGAUACCCUGGUAGUCCACACCGUAAACGAUGAGUGCUAGUUGUCUGCAGGCAUGCCUGUAGGUGACGCAGCUAACGCAUUAAGCACUCCGCCUGGGGAGUACGGCCGCAAGGUUAAAACU